AUUGAACGCUGGCGGCAGGCCUAACACAUGCAAGUCGAACGAGUGGGAGACGGGUGAGUAAUGUGUGGGAAUCUGCCCGAUGGGGGGGGAUAACUACUGGAAACGGUAGCAAAUCCCGCAUACCAUCGGAUGUACAAAUAUGGGAUUCGCUAGUAGGUGGGGUAAUGGCUCACCUAGGCGACGAUCCCUAGCUGGUGGGAGAGGAUGAUCAGCCACACUGGAACUGAGACACGGUCCAGACUCCUACGGGAGGCAGCAGUGGGGAAUAUUGCACAAUGGGCGCAAGCCUGAUGCAGCCAUGCCGCGUGUAUGAAGAAGGCCUUAGGGUUGUAAAGUACUUUCAGCAGGGAGGCGUUACCCACAGAAGAAGCACCGGCUAACUCCGUGCCAGCAGCCGCGGUAAUAC
rnacentral:rRNA from 1 species